UCUCUCCGGGGGACCCGUUUCCGGUGGCGGAAAGGCGGGAAUCACCCGUCUGUGGCUCCGGGGAAAAGGCCCCGCUCGCCGCCGCCGCCACCGCCACUAACACAGACGCGGGGUGAAAGGCCAGCUACACCUCUCUUAGUAAGCGAGGAGGUCGCGAAACCUCACACGAGUUCGCCAUUUGUGCUCGGGGAGAGUUAAAGCUGAGGGAACUGAGCAGGUCCCAUCGUAAAACCCCUCCGGCUGGGGAUAUGGCAAAAUUUCCAUCAUUGGAAUAAUGGCAGUGAAUGUGUUCCCUCCCCUGACGGAUAUUCCCGGCUCCGACCCUCUUGGCCAAGCUUCUCCUCUGUCCUGCUCGCUACAGGAGGAAGUGUGUUCCAGAAAGGCGGGUUGGAGAGGAUUUACGCCCUGGGUGAAAGGCAAGAAGAAAAAAAAAACUCAACAGGGUAAACUAACGUGGGUUUGAUGCUCUGACGACGCUGUGCGAAGACUGAUACUGCUGACAGCUGGUGGGCACAGCCCAUCUUCCGGAGUCCCCAGUGCAAGGACACGCUGUUGAGUCGGGAUGAUCCACUGGGAGGACCUCGUGUUGUCUCUGCCAGAGGGACGUAAAGGGCAACAGCUGUAGGGAGCCAUCACUCAGCUUACGGGCAUCAGUAUUUAAUCAGGAGGCAAGGAGAUGGAAAAGCGAUUGGACACCAGCGGGGAUUCGCGGUGGAGAGGUGUCAAGCGGAAAUCAGAUGAUACUUCGGAGGGGCAGCGACAGGGCGGGGGGAAGCUCUACCCCUCGCGCAAGAACACGGGUGACACACGUGCCCACUCUCUGCCCGUUUUGCCGGUCCAUUAUGACCUGAAGUUUCCCGACUACAGGCAGCCGGUGGAGAUUGGCUGCUUCUCGCUGGACUCCCACCGGCAGCUCUUUAACGACGACAGGCAGCUGAGGUUCUGCAGAAUGCCCCCGGACAAGAAGCCACGCUUCAACCUGCGAGACGGAUUCAAAGACAGAUACAUAAAGCGCAACGACAGCGUAAAGGAAAAGUUGGACCACGUCCUGAAGUGGAUUUUGCUCAACAGACAGAAGUUCCCCACGCUGGCCGGAGACAGGGGCUCCCCUGCCGUGACAAAUCAGCUGCACACGGACUUUAUCACGUGGAGAGGGCACCUGACAAAGAUCCUCACCACCCCUUAUGAGAACAGAGAGGGCUGGCUGAUGGCCGUGACGCUUUUUAAUGGCACCUAUUACAUGAGUGAGGUGGAGACUGAGGAGGCCAGGUGCCAGAGGGAGCAGAGGACUGAGCAGCAGCAAGAGCUGAUGUACGGAGGAUAUAAGUUUGAGCAGUACCUGUGUGCAGAUAAAGCGGAAGGGAGCCCGGAUCCGUCCGGAGUGGUGAACACCAACGAGGCGUUCUGCUGCGUGGUCCGAACCCGACUGGACGGCCACUCCCUCGUGUUCUCGGGCGAGGUGGAUUGCAAGGACAACUCGGAUCCGCGGCUAAAGCCCCCUCAGUGCUACGUGGAGCUGAAGACCAGCCGAGAGACCUACAGUCCUAACCAGGAGAAGAACUUCCUCAGAUUUAAACUGAUCAAAUGGUGGGCACAGUCCUUCUUGCCAGGAGUUCCUCAAAUCGUUGCGGGAUUUCGGGAUGACAGUGGCACGGUGGUCUCACUUCAGACCUUCGAAACAAUGAAGAUUCAUCACUUGGUCAAGAACGAGCGGGGUUGCUGGAAGCCGGCCGUCUGCCUGAACUUCUGCAACGCCUUCCUGUCCUUCGUAAAGCAAGUGGUGACCCUCGACAAUCACCGGAUGGUGACCCUUUUCUCCUGGGAGCCUGGAAAAGAUAUUUCAUACACAUUGCACUCAGACGGUGCGUUUGGCUUUCUCCCAGGCUGGUACGUGGGGAGUGUGUUUGGACAUUCGGGGACUUUGGGUACUGCAGGUGAGAAAGUCCCUGACAUCUGACUCGCUAUCGAAAGGAACUUGUUGCUGGAUCUGCCGCUGCUGGCGAUUUUACAUUUCUGUGUAAGGUGAUGCUUUAAUGUAAAUAACACAAAGUGCUGGAGGAACUCAGCCAUGACAGUAUCUAUGGAGGGAAGUUUGAAGACAGUAGUUUGAAGGCAGCACCAUGAAGAUGCAGCACCAUUUCGCCUUCACACUGGCAGCCAUCUCGUUCUCCAGCUGCUAAAAAUGGUCACCGCCACAUUUGGCAUCGAUGAAAGACAUUGUUCACAUCUGGCGACUGAACAGAUCGUACGUGCAGAUCCAAGCAAUGUGGGUCGGGCAGCGUGAAGUCAAGAAACACGCAGAUUCAGCAAAUGCUGCCUAACCCGCUGAGUUCCUCCAGCAAUUUGUGUUUUGCUCAAGAUUCCAGCAUCUGCAGUUCCUCAUGCCUUCUGGAGUAGAUUCACUUGUUUUAGACAAUAGAUGCACGAGUAGGCCAUUCGGCCCUUUGAGCCAGCACCGCCAUUUAAUGUGAUCAUGGCUGAUCAUCCACAAUCAGUGCCCCCGUUCCUACCCUCUCCCCAUAUCCCUUGACUCCGCUAUCUUUAAGAGCUCUGUCUAGCGCUCUCUCGCGAAAGCAUCCAGAGAACCAGCCCCCACUGCCCUCUUCUUCUUUUGUGUCGCGUGCACAGCCUAAAGUUGUUGAACAACUUGUUCUAUUUGAUCUUCCAUUUGUGCACGUCGAGUUGAUUGCAUUAGUCGAAACAGGGCGGACCAAGUGAAGGUUGCAAUCUUCCACCCCACUGCCCUCUGAGACAGAGAAUUUCCCAAAUGCAAAACAAGAUACUCCUUUAUCAUCACUGUGGGACUGGGGUGACCCUGCAUAUAUUUCUGGCACAGGACGAUCAAAGAGGAAGGAAAUUAUAGAUUUUAAUAGCUGACAACCAAUUCAUUUGGUAAAAUGUCUCAACGAAAACUCAGUCAAAGUACUGAGAUAUAAUUUAGUUUACAGCGCAGGAUCAGGCGGUCCACCGAGUUUACGUUGACCAGUUAUACCACUAACACUAUCCUACACACAAAGGACAAUUUACAGAAGCCAAUUAACCUACAAACCUGCACGUCUUUGGGGUGUGGAAGGAAACUGGAGCACCGAGAGAAAACCCACGCGAUCACAGGGAGAACAUACAAGCUUCAGACAGACAGCCCCCAUAGUCAGGAUUGAACCCGGCACACGGGUAAAGCAGCAACCAGCAACAACCACUGCGCCACCGUGCUGCUCUUUGGACACAGAAGAAACUGCGGAUGCUGCAUUAUUUGUGACUGAGAUUGUAUGGAUAUUUAAGAUUGUUCCUCACGUGACAAUAAUAAACCUAUAUUUAAUCAUGUAA